UCCUCUACCGCCACGGCACGCAACCUCUCCUCGUCUUCCUCGCUCACGCGGACAUCCACUCCUCGCUCUCGUCGCGCCGCCCCACCCAUCCUCCGGUGCGGAGGAAGAUAGCCAUAGAUUCGUGAGUAGAACGAGGAGGGAAACCAUAUUGGACCAGCAACGGCCGGAUCCCCAAGGAGAAUAUGGCAGUGGGAUGCAAGACGAAGCUAAUCGGCGGCCGUGGCCGGUGGAUGAGGCGGAGGGAGGCGACGGCGACGAGAAAAAUCGGUCAACGAUAGAUAAAGCUUCAUUCAGACGAUGGAUUGUCUUGCUCUACUUCGAAACAGGGGAGAGACAGGCGGCUGUUGCAGAACAAGGGAAGGAGUAGCAGCAAUCUGCUGUUUCAGUUGUAUAUGUCCGUUGAAGAUAGCUCAUACCCGUAUCCUGAAGAAAGAAGGCAAAAUAAUCCAUAACUAUUUCUUGAUAAUAAAGUACAUAGACAUAGAUAUAUAGCUCAAUGGCUCCAUGACGUUAGUUUGCAAAAUAAUCCAUAAUCAUAUAUUGUUGUGGAUAAUUUUGCUAUUAACAGUUAUAUGGAUCCUUGCUGACUCAAGAUAGAUUCCAGAUAUACCUGGAAUAUGUUCAUCCGGGUUCAGUUAAUAAGUGCAUUAGUCAACAUUGUGUGCAAUGAUAGAAUACGUUGUCCACAACUUCACCUCUCAUAUCCUUAAGGGUCUUGAUUUCCUUCAGAGCCAAAAAAAUUAUGCACAGGUAAUGUUUCCUUUUUGUUGUUCAAUUUUUUAUCUGAUAAUGAUUUCUCGUUUGCUGUUUCCUUACUUUCUGAACCUAACCUUUUUGUUCUGUUGUUUACAUUACCUCUUUUUUUUUCUUGUACAAAUUGUCAGAUUGCUUUGUCCUAUUUUGCCCAUACAAAUGGACAAAUGGUUAAGAACUUAGCAAGUACUUCCCUUUUAUAUGAUGUAGAUGUUAAGAAUCCGCUCUUCAGUUUUGUAACAAAAAUAGUACCCAAGUUUAUAGAUCUUUAUUUCUUCUUGUCGAUGACUGAUUUCUGCACAUAUAUUUACUGCCUAUCUGCAAAUGGAUUUAAAGGAAAGAUUUAGAAGGUGAAGGAACUGAUGCAGGGCAUUCUAUAUUCUCACUUUCCUAAUCAUUCUCCAUGUACAGUGCAAUACAUGUAUAGCUUUGGUGCUUUUUGUGCUGACAAGAAUUCUCUGGGUGCUUUCAUAGGCUUGCUGAACCAUAUUCUCUUUACUGAACUUGGCUUCAUUCAAGAGAUAAUAUGGAGUGAAUUAUUUGGACAAUAAAACCUUCAGAUUUCUGAAAAGUGAGGGUACUUUCCAACUACAAUUGUAGGCAAGCACGGCUCUUAUCAUGUUUAAGAAGGGAGAUCAAUUCGGUUUGGCGUAGAUGAUGGUUUUAGAGUUGUGCAGAUAUAUGUGAUGGAAUGUUGAUAUGUAGCAUGACUUAUGUCCAGGAAUGCACCAAGAAAAUAAUGCAGUACACCUUAACGUUUGAAGUUUAGCAACGUGGAUAUGAUGUUCAUGAUGAAACAUUUCACGUUUCAUGAGUGGGCAUCCGCACACACUACUCACGAGUGCUUUCAGCCACAUCGAUGUCCAGCACCUCUUCAACAAUAUGGUGGCCUCUACAUCAUCGGCUCAAGCUGCAAGACGGUGUUGAUCAACAGUGGUGGCCAAGGUGGCGGGAGACGAUGAUGACGAAUGAUAUAGUGGUCAGUAGAUAAAACAUGCCGUUCAUCUUCAUUGCUCACCAGGGGCCUCUUCGGCGGCUGAUGUAGCAUUAGUCAGCAUAGGAGGAGAAAUGGCUCUCACUGAUUAGGAUGUUGCACAUCAGGUGAGCCGGUUGACGGGCCGUUCAAUGCGUUGAUCUUACUGAUUUGUUUUUGACAUAUCCUCUGUGCUGCUGUAUUUUCUGAAUUAGUUGGUGGUUUAUAUUAGCAACUACUAUUAUUCUGUCACUUUUGAAUCACCGGUACUGUAUGUAGUUAGUCCUCUAAACUAUAACACUAUUGCCUUUGUGUUCA